rnacentral:rRNA from 1 species
CUUACCAGGUCAAGACAUGGGCGUGAUUGACAGGCUAAUGACUUUUCUCGAUUCCCAUGGAUGGUGGUGCAUGGUCGCACUUAGUUGGUGCAGUGAUUUGUCAGGUUUAUUCCGGUAACGAACGAGACCUUCGGCCUUGUAAAUAGCUAUGCUGCUUACAGGGACAUUGGCGGCUACGCCAAGGAAGCUCGAGGCAAUUGCAGAUCUGGAAUGCCCUUAGAUGUCCUGGGUCGCACGCGUGCUACAAUGACGCCACGAACGAGCUUGCGUGAUGAAAGUUACGCAUAAUCAGCAGUCGGCGUCUUAAGGGAUAGUCUCUUGUAACUGUGGGACUCCAACUAGGAAUGUCUCGUAAGCACAAGUCAACAUCUUGUGUUGAUUACGUCCCUGCUCUUUGUACACACCGCCCGUCGCUCCUACCGAUCGAGUGUUUAGGUGAAUUGAUGGACGUAAGGGAAGUCAAAUAAACCUGAGCACUAGAGGAAGGAGAAGUCGACAUC